CCUACGGGAGGCAGCAGUNGGGAAUUUUGCGCAAUGGGNGAAACCCUGACGCAGCAACGCCGCGUGGAGGAUGAAGCCCUUUGGGGGGUAAACUCCUUUCGACCAAGACGAUAAUGACGGUACUGUUGGAAGAAGCACCGGCUAACUCUGUGCCAGCAGCCGCGGUAAU
rnacentral:rRNA from 1 species